rnacentral:rRNA from 1 species
UACGUAGGGAGCAAGCGUUGUCCGGAAUCAUUGGGCGUAAAGCGCGUGUAGGUGGCUCGGUAAGUCUGGUGUGAAAUCUUGAGGCUCAACCUCAAGCUGUCACUGGAAACUGCCGGGAUUGAGUCCGGAAGAGGAGAGUGGAAUUCCUGGUGUAGCGGUGGAAUGCGCAGAUAUCAGGAGGAACACCCAUGGCGAAGGCAGCUCUCUGGUACGUGACUGACACUGAGACGCGAAAGCGUGGGGAGCGAACAGG